rfam:Canis lupus familiaris chromosome X, whole genome shotgun sequence.
GCUUGCUUCAGCCAAUAGAUACUAAAAUUGGAAUGAUAUAGAGAUUAACAUGGCCCCUGCAAAGGAUGACAUGCAAAUUUAUGAAGCACUCCAUUUUUCU